UUGAGCAGGGGGGUUGGACUAGAUAGCCUCCUGAGGUCCUUUCCAACCCUAAUUUUCUAAUUCUAGGAUAUAUUUUAGGAAACAUAAUUGCUGACUUCAUAACCCUUUAAAAUUUUGUAUAAUCCUAGAAAUGAAACAUCUUAAGUGUUCCACACACUAUUAUUUCAAUCAGCAGAAGGAGGACUUUAAAAUCGACAAAAGCUGCUUUUACUUGGAGAAGUUGAGCUACGUACUUGAAAGUGUUGUUGAAUUCUUAACCUGCCAUUUAGAUAUGUAGUGAUAUAAUCAGUGAGAUUUGAAUUCACUAGUUGAAUUCUACAUUUGUUUUGGUAAAAAUUUUCUGAAAAUA